UACGUAGGGUGCGAGCGUUGUCCGGAAUUACUGGGCGUAAAGAGCUCGUAGGUGGUUUGUCGCGUUGUUCGUGAAAUGCAACAGCUUAACUGUGGGCGUGCGGGCGAUACGGGCAGACUGGAGUACUGCAGGGGAGACUGGAAUUCCUGGUGUAGCGGUGGAAUGCGCAGAUAUCAGGAGGAACACCGGUGGCGAAGGCGGGUCUCUGGGCAGUAACUGACGCUGAGGAGCGAAAGCGUGGGGAGCGAACAGG
rnacentral:rRNA from 1 species